UAGCUAAAUACAUUGCAAAAUUCAAAUUUUAUACAAAACAUCUUGCUUAGACUUUAUAAAAAACCAACAUUGCUCUAUGUACACAAUCUGGUUAAGAAAAGCCAUUUCUGUCUUGUUUUCAUGUGUAUUUUAUUAAAAAGGUGAAUAAGGCUACUGUAACACCCCGAAUCCAUAUACAGUAUAUCUGAACCUAUUUACAGCAUCUUCACUUAAACAUGAUGGUGCAAAUUCCAAAGUCAGGUGACUAGGGAUGAUAAUACAAGCAAGGCAUUUACAGUAACUUUCCAAAGCUGAACCAACUUCAAAUAAAGGAACAGUUGGUAGAUUGUCAUAUUCUGCACCAGACACAAAACAGACACACAGUACACAUUUUCAAUUGGUUGCAGGUAACUCUUCAUCGAUUCAUCUGAUUUUUCACAGUUUAGUACAUGACCAAAACGUAGCCAACUGGUGAUACAUAAAUUUGAUUUCAUUAAAAUCAGACUCACUAUUCCCAGGUUCCCCCUUCUCUUCCCUCUCCCCACCCUGAAAAUAAAAUUUUAAUGGCUUAACAAGAAAAUCUUGUAUGGAUUCACAUAAAGAAGAAAAGGGUUGGGAGUGAUGGAAAGAAUUACAUAGGUACUGUGGUUAGUCACCAUGGUAACAUCCCACAGAACUAUGAUAUAGAUAUAUAUAAUAUAUAUUGCAGAUAUAUAUUAUACAUAUAUGUACACACACGCCACACACCCAUUCUCUCACACAAACACGCAUUUUGGACCAACAUCAUUUUUCAGGUUCAGGAAAUAGAGAGAAUUAUCAUUUCUGUGACAGUUCAUUUUUGCAGGUACUCACUGGAGGUUUGAGAACCUUAAAAUGCUGUUGCUACAUUUUUUCUUCCAAUUCAGAAAGCAAAGUGUUACCAUAGUAACAGGACCAUGUUAAAGAUGUCUAUUUUGCAUAGCACAUAAAAAGUAGGUUUCAUGUUUACUUUUUUUCCUUCAGAAGGGAAGGCAGGGGGAAGGAAGGGUGGGGGUGGGGUGGGGGGUAGCAAAAGCUAAACUUUUAACUGGAACCCCCUGAAUGUGACCUGCUGGAUUCUAGCGAACACUUCAGCCAUAAGGCAAGGGAAAACACAACGCAGAAAAUAAAUGCCGGAACAUCUUGUCAUUGUUAAAUAUAUGAUGCAGCAACAUUGAUUUCCUGGUGUUUGGGGGCUUGUAUUUCCUAGUCUACUGUUACGUGAGAUGCCUUCAGAGGACUUUUGUUAUUUUUGUAUUUGCUCUCAUUAUUGUUAUUUUUGGAAUGAAGUUGUUUUUCCCAGAAGUAGUUGUCCAAUUAAAAAUAAAAUUCUUUUUUUUUUUUUUAAAGCACUGAGAGGUCAGACCAUUUAAUUGCCACAAAUGAAUUUCACAUCUUCUGGUGUGCACUCUGUGCAAUCUUAAAAUAUAUAUUAGUAAUAAUCUUUCAUUUUAUAUCCCUUGUGUUCUAUACACCUAUUAUAAAUAAGUCAUAUCUUCCUCCUCCCCCUCGACAUCAUAAUUUAUUUCAGUCUUGUGGACUCUUAAGAGGUUUGCCAUAUGUGCUUUACUUGGAAACAGAGCACCGGGUGAACUGCUGUGUCAGUCACAGUACCUAGACUUCACCAUGAAGCAGGGACAGCACCGCCAUAAACCAAAGUGUCAUAAGGCUUAAUCUGGGUCUCUGUGUAUGGGAUGGGGGAGGGAGAGGGAGAGAUCUGACCUACCUUUUAUAUAUGAGAAUUCUUUAAUAAUGUCAAUGAUGAUGGAAUUACAGCCCAUUUGACCUUUGGCUUUCGAACUUCUAGGUCAGAUUUGGCUCUCUGCUAUUCUCCUAAAUGCUUUCCCUGUGUUUCAUAAAAUGUGAUAAGUAUAGCAGCUGAGUCUGCUUUAAAAACCAUCCCAAAGCAGACUGACUUUCCUACAGCUUCAUAGCUGUGUCUCUUAUUGCCAGUACCACAACAGUCCUGCCCUAAUAUAUCAUCAGCGGCCUACUAUUGUCUUUCCCUCCAAGCUUGUUCAUUUACUAACAAUACCCCCCUUUGUUCUACUGAACCAAAAGGUACUAUCUUUCUCUCUCUGAACAUUGCUAUUUGAUAACAGUGAAUUCCUUCAAAUGCAGCCCUAAUCCACUGCGUGUGGUGUUGUGUCUCCUACUUGCCUCUUAAAACUUAGCAAACCAAAGUGCUGUGCUACCGAAAAAUGUUUUUUUUUUUGUUUGUUUGUUUUGUUUUGUUUCGUUUCGUUUUGUUUCCAGCUUCAUGUUUCAGAGGCAGCAGCAUUGAACUGCAAUUGCAGUCAGCCCUUUCCCCCGCCCCACCCCCAACCACAAACUCCUAGUCUUAUUCGUCGGACGGCCUAACUUCUGGCUGGAAGGCUCCUUAUUAGCAAACACAAUUUCUAGAAAAUGUAUUACCCAUUCAACUAUAGCUGCUGUAGCAAAUGGAAGGAGCAAAUAACUCCCAACAACAUUAAUGUUCCAUUAGUGAUGCCGGAUGUGGAGUGAAAGGAAAUCUCGUGUGAAGAAAUAUGGCAGGGCCCUGGAUAGAACAGAAGUGAAUGUAACAGUGAUGGACUAAAAGUGAGAGAACUUUUAAGAGUCUUACUUAGCCACAGAGGUCUGUGGGACACAUCCAGUAUGCGCUGAGAGAGAUACACACACCAAGUCAGGAGACUGCAUUUCAAGCGCGAGAUCCUAGAGCACCUUCCCAGCAUGUCUAGAACUAUUAUUGUCCUUCUUCCCUUGGCUUUUUUAUACAUG
ensembl:lncRNA